GCAGUCGAGCGGAACGAGUUAUCUGAACCUUCGGGGAACGAUAACGGCGUCGAGCGGCGGACGGGUGAGUAAUGCCUAGGAAAUUGCCCUGAUGUGGGGGAUAACCAUUGGAAACGAUGGCUAAUACCGCAUGAUGCCUACGGGCCAAAGAGGGGGACCUUCGGGCCUCUCGCGUCAGGAUAUGCCUAGGUGGGAUUAGCUAGUUGGUGAGGUAAGGGCUCACCAAGGCGACGAUCCCUAGCUGGUCUGAGAGGAUGAUCAGCCACACUGGAACUGAGACACGGUCCAGACUCCUACGGGAGGCAGCAGUGGGGAAUAUUGCACAAUGGGCGCAAGCCUGAUGCAGCCAUGCCGCGUGUGUGAAGAAGGCCUUCGGGUUGUAAAGCACUUUCAGUCGUGAGGAAGGUGGUGUAGUUAAUAGCUGCAUUAUUUGACGUUAGCGACAGAAGAAGCACCGGCUAACUCCGUGCCAGCAGCCGCGGUAAUACGGAGGGUGCGAGCGUUAAUCGGAAUUACUGGGCGUAAAGCGCAUGCAGGUGGUUUGUUAAGUCAGAUGUGAAAGCCCGGGGCUCAACCUCGGAAUAGCAUUUGAAACUGGCAGACUAGAGUACUGUAGAGGGGGGGUAGAAUUUCAGGUGUAGCGGUGAAAUGCGUAGAGAUCUGA
rnacentral:rRNA from 1 species